rnacentral:misc_RNA from 1 species
GCUGAAACUAUCAUUCUUCUUGAUUCUCCUUCCUGCUUAUAAAUGAACCAAUUGCUCAUAACAUAAAGCUUUCCCCUAACGACAGUCAUCGGGCCCUGGAGCCAAGAAUACUCGUGAGCAAUCCAACCCUGCUUGAAAUUUUCUAAAACCUGAAUAGUUGAUAAACCUUUAUGCAAGACAUGAACUUUGCCACCAAAAACUACUCCCGAGCAUGCAGAAUUGUGCGCAUGAUGGAGAUCAGGUAAUUGUACCCAGA